ensembl:lncRNA
ACGCGGCCGUUAGCCGGGAGCGCCUGCUCACUGCAGCCAGAGAAAGCUCCAGGCUGCCGCGGAGGCCCAGCGCAGCCGGGAAUAAAUACAAAUGCAUCUUCAGCAUAGCCCAGUGUGAGGUUCCAAACAUUCCCUCGAGGGGUGUUUGUCCGCUGGCCAGAGCAUCCGUGUGUCCCGUAGGAGCAAGGAGCUCCAUCCGGCAGGAUGCUUUGGCAUCCCCUCCGGCAGGGUGGUGGGCGAAGGGUCCAGAUGGAGAAGGCCUGAGGGAAGUGGCCGGGCCCUGUGUGCUUCGGACCUUCAGUUCAGUUCAGUUCAGUCACUGCGUCGUGUCCAACUCUGACACCCCAUGGACUGCAGCAUGCCAGGCGUCCCUGUCCAUCACUAACUCCUGGAGCUUACUCAAACUCAUGCCCAUUGAGUUGGUGGUACCAUCCAACC